GACGAACGCUGGCGGCGUGCUUAACACAUGCAAGUCGAACGAAGUGGCGAACGGGUGAGUAAUACGCGGGUAAACUGCCCCCCUUUUCGGGAUAAGCCUUGGAACCGGGGUCUAAUACCGAAUAAAGGUGGAUGGGCUCGCGGCCUAUCAGCUUGUUGGUGGGGUGAUGGCCUACCAAGGCGGUGACGGGUAGCCGGCCUGAGAGGGUGACCGGCCACAUUGGGACUGCGAUACGGCCCAGAAUCCUACGGGAGGCAGCAGUGGGGGAUAUUGCACAGUGGGCGAAAGCCUGAUGCAGCGACGCCGCGUGGGGGAUGAAGGCUUUGGGGUUGUAGACCUCUUUCGCUCUCGAACGGGUAGGUGGAGAAGAGGCGCCGGCUGACUACAUGCCAGCAGCCGCGGUAAUUC
rnacentral:rRNA from 1 species